AUUUAAAAAAUUUAAUUUAAAUUUAUUUUACAUAUAAAUUUUAGUGUUAAUUUUUAAUUAUUUUAAUAAUUUUUUAAAAAUGAUUGGUAGUAAUUAAAAUUAUAAAUUUAAGAAAUUAAGAUUUAGUAAUAUUUAUAUUUAUUAACAAAUUUUGUGCCAGCAGUUGCGGUUAUACAAAUAAUAAUUUAAAUUUUAUUAGUGAAUAAUUAAUAUAAUAAGAUAAAAAUUAAAUAUUAAUUUAUUAGGUAAAAUUUUAAUUUAAUAAAAAUUUUAAUUAAUUAUAUGAUUUAUUAAAUUUUGAAAAAAACUAGGAUUAGAUACCCUAUUAUUAAAAAUUAAAUUAAUAAUACUAAAUUAGUAUAUAAUAAUUUAUAAAAACUUAAAUAAUUUGGCGGUAUUUUAGUUCAUUUAGAGGAAUCUGUUUAAUAAUUGAUAAUCCACGAAUAAAUUUACUUAAUUUAUGAAUUUUGUAUAUCGUUGUUAAAAAAAUAUUUUUUAAUAAAAAUAAUAUUUUAAAAUUAUAAAUAUAAUUUAGUUCAGAUCAAGAUGCAGAUUAUAAUUAAGAAUAUAAUGGAUUACAAUAUAUAAUAAAUAAAUGGAUAUUAUUGUUUAAUAAAUAUUUGAAAAUGGAUUUAAAUGUAAUUUUAUUUAAUUUAUUAAAAUGAUUAUAAAUUAAAAUAUGUACAUAUUGCCCGUCGCUUUCAUAUAUAAAUUGAAAUAAGUCGUAACAAAGUAGAAGUACUGGAAAGUGUUUCUAGAAAGAACA
rnacentral:ncRNA from 1 species